AUCAGAGAUGACUCUCGGCAACGGAUAUCUAGGCUCUUGCCACGAUGAAGAACGUAGCGAAAUGCGAUACUUGGUGUGAAUUGCAGAAUCCCGUGAACCAUCAAGUUUUUGAACGCAAGUUGCGCCCGAGGCCACCAGGCCAAGGGCACGCCUGCCUGGGCGUCACGC
rnacentral:rRNA from 2 species